GGAAGUUACAUCGCUGUGACUUCCAUUAGCUUGACGCCGGGUUGAUGCAGUAACAGUCAUCGAUUAAUGUGAAUGUCAGGCCGAGCACAUCGGCCACCAGGUCGGCGCACAUCACCAUCGGGUCAAGCAGGACGACAUCAAAUGUCGAACCAGACAGGUUGGAUUGAACAGGUGUAUUCACCAGACAGGUUGGAUUGAACAGGUGUAUACACCUGACAGGUUCGACAUUCGCUGCUGAUUAACCGAUAUGAGAGAGAAGUGAAUAUAACGAUGACACGCGAGGCUCGAAAAGGAUAAUUUCUGGAAUAUUUACAGUGAAAAUAUCGCGAGAGUACGUGGGAGCAAAGGGGGCUUUUCGAAAAGACUGAAGGCUGGUGGAAGCCCCCAAGUGUCCAUCCCAUUGCAGCUGUUGGUUACUGCCUGCUCGUGUCCGCUGUCCAGGUGCACCUGAGCUCAAGCGUGCCCAAGAUGUUACAGAUCCAGAGGGGGACCAGAUGUAACAUUAAGGAUACAGGCCUUAGAAAAUACACAAGAAGAAGGAUCCAUGGCAUAAAUGAUUUUAGCAUAUAAAUAUGCAAAAGAUGCAUUAAAAAAAGAUGUUAAUGUAGAAGUCAACUAUAGUGAGGCUGAGAUUAAAAGAUUAAUUAAAAGGGAAAUUGGAUUGGUCAGAAACAUGGGAUAAAGAAAGCAAGUGUAGGUACUAUUAUACAGUAGUAUUCAGCGGAAAGCAGGAGAAAUGAGAGAAAGCCAUAGGAAAGAAGAUGAUUUCAAGAAUGAGCUUUGAUCACAUUGGAUUGAACAGUAGCCUCUGAUGUUAAAGUACUCAGAGGUUUGUCUCUGGAAGACAAGGUGUGCAAACAUGGUGAAAACAGUGAGACUCCACAGUCUGCCACAGAUAUACUAAAAGUACUAGGUAUCUACUCACACAUGCUGCUACUUGUACUGUCAUGUAAUUGUUACUUUGGAUUUUUAAUGUUUUAUCUAAUUUGCAUUCUAAUGUUUUAUCUAUAUAUGUAUGCACUUUGAAUUGCUGUUGUGUAUGAAGAUGUGCUAUAUAAAUAACCUUGCCCAGCCUACACUGAAGUUGUUAAAAGAACAUAAUACUGGUGAAUGUGAGCUUUGUGGGGUAUAGGAAACAGUGGAGCAGGUUUUUCUGAGUUGUCCAGGGUUCUGGCUGAAGAGGGACUUUUUUAAAAGUAGGCUACACUUCAAAGCAAUGGCAUAAGAUUUAGUUUGAAAGAGAUUUUACAAAGGAGUUCCGGGGAUGCAGGGUACAGUGCAAUCUUUAGAUUCUUAGAGGGUACCGGAGUGAGUAGAUCAUACAACAUAAACAAAGUAGGGAUUUCAUUAUAGUAGUUGUAGAAAGGAGCCAUUCUGAUCAACAGAAGAAGAAUUUUUUUUUUUUAAUUGAACAAUUGGAUUUACAACAAAUGUGGCAAAUAUUAGUAUUCCAUAACAUUAAUAUAGAACAGGUGCAAGAGAGGAAGGAGAGAACAAUAAAAAUAAAUACAUAAAUAAAAUAAGG